rnacentral:rRNA from 1 species
AUCCGGGUUGCGGACAGUGUCUGGUGGGUAGUUUGACUGGGGCGGUCUCCUCCUAAAGAGUAACGGAGGAGCACGAAGGUUGGCUAAUCCUGGUCGGACAUCAGGAGGUUAGUGCAAUGGCAUAAGCCAGCUUGACUGCGAGCGUGACGGCGCGAGCAGGUGCGAAAGCAGGUCAUAGUGAUCCGGUGGUUCUGAAUGGAAGGGCCAUCGCUCAACGGAUAAAAGGUACUCCGGGGAUAACAGGCUGAUACCGCCCAAGAGUUCAUAUCGACGGCGGUGUUUGGCACCUCGAUGUCGGCUCAUCACAUCCUGGGGCUGAAGUAGGUCCCAAGGGUAUGGCUGUUCGCCAUUUAAAGUGGUACGCGAGCUGGGUUUAGAACGUCGUGAGACAGUUCGGUCCCUAUCUGCCGUGGGCGCUGGAGAACUGAGGGGGGCUGCUCCUAGUACGAGAGGACCGGAGUGGACGCAUCACUGGUGUUCGGGUUGUCAUGCCAAUGGCACUGCCCGGUAGCUAAAUGCGGAAGAGAUAAGUGCUGAAAGCAUCUAAGCACGAAACUUGCCCCGAGAUGAGUUCUCCCUGAGACUUAGAGUCUCCUGAAGGAACGUUGAAGACGACGACGUUGAUAGGCCGGGUGUGUAAGCGCAGCGAUGCGUUGAGCUAACCGGUACUAAUGAACCGUGAGGCUUAACCUUACAAC